GACGAACGCUGGCGGCGUGCUUAACACAUGCAAGUCGAACGGAAAGGCCCUGCUGUUGUGGGGUGCUCGAAUGGCGAACGGGUGAGUAACACGUGAGUAACCUGUCCUUGACUUUGGGAUAACUUCAGGAAACUGGGGCUAAUACCGGAUAGGAGCUACUGCUGCAUGGUGGGGGUUGGAAAGUUUCGGUGGUUGGGGAUGGACUCGCGGCUUAUCAGGUUGUUGGGGGGGUAGUGGCUUACCAAGGCUUUGACCGGUAGCCGGCCUGAGAGGGUGACCGGCCACGUUGGGACUGAGAUGCGACCCGGACUCCUACGGGAGGCAGCGGUGGGGAAUAGUGCACUAUGGGCGGAAGCCUAAUGCAGCAACGCCGCGUGCGGGAUGACGGCCUUCGGGUUGUAUUCCGCUUUCGCCUGUGACGAAGCGUGAGUGACGGUAAUGGGUGAAGAAGCACCGGCUAACUACGUG
rnacentral:rRNA from 1 species